rnacentral:lncRNA from 1 species
GGGUCUCACUCUGUCACCCAGGCAAUGGCACGAUCUCGGCUCACUGCAGCCUCGACCUCCCGGGCUCAAGCCAUCCUCCCACCUUGGCCUCCCAAAGGGCUGGGAUUACAGGCAUGAGCCACCGUGCCUGGCCAAAUCCAACAAUUUAUUUUAAAAAGAUAAUACUGUACACCAUGAUCAAGUGGGAUAUUUCCCAGGACUGAAAGAUUGGUUUAACAGCCAGAACUCAAUUAAUGUAAUAAAUCAUAUUAAUAAAAUAAAGGACAAAAGCCACAUGAUCAUCCCAACUGAUAUAGAAAAUCCAUUUGACAAAAUCUGACACCCAUUUAUAAUUAAAAAAAAACUUUCAACAAACCAGAAAUGAGAGUGAACCUCCUCAACCUAGCAAUGGAAUCUAUGGAAACCUACAGCACGCUUCCUGGGGAAAGCCUGACCGUCUCGAAUCUAUGGAAACCUACAGCACGCUUCCUGGGGAAAGCCUGACCGUCUCCCCACGGAAGGGAGCAAGUCAAGGGGACCCUCCCCUCCCGCUCCUCCCACACUGCACAGCGGGUUCCAGCCAGGGCAGUGAGGCAAGAACAUGGAACUCAAAUCACCGAGAUUAGCAAAAAAGAUGUAGAAGUACGCCUCACGCCGUAGGUGGAAUCGCCUAAGGAAUCUACAAAGAUAAAAUAAAAUGAAGUAAAACCUGAUAAGAUGAUCGAAGGAGUUUAACAAGAUCAUGGGGCGUAGGAUAUUUCUGCACUGACAGUGAACACCCCAAGAUGAAAUGCAGAAAGCGUCCUGGUCAAAUAGCAUCAGAAAGAAUAAGCUACUUAGGAAUAAUUUCGCAAAGGAAGUGUGAGACUUGUACGCUGCAAACUGCGAAACAUGGCUGGUAAAAAGACCCAAAGAAAACCUGAACAGAUGGAGAGACUUCCCACAUCGAGGCUGAAAGGCUGAACCCUGCGCAGACGGCGGGGCUCCCGCGGUGCUCCGUGUGGCCUUCAUCCCCCUCUGGCCGUGUUCCCUCCCCGGCUCAGAGCCACUCCUCCUAGUUACCACCCUCGGCCCUCCCUCUGCAAGCCCAGGAUGCCCGGGCCACAGGCCGGUGAGCUGGGGAUCCAGCCUCUCCUGGCGUUUUACCCACGUAGGUGACAACUGACGGCACUGGAGCAGAGAGGCUGACUGCCCGAGGAGACCAGGGAGGCUUGGACCCCAGGCUGGAGGGGGCCGGGGACCCAGACCCACUCACUUGAUUUGGAAGGACACAGGGCUGUCAAACCUAUGCAGGGUCAUCACACCCGGCCCUUCGUUUGUCCCUUUUCGGCCAAGCUCAGGACCCUGUAACCCAGGAAGACAAGCUCGUGGUUCUGAGAUGACCCAGGGAAUUGGCCAAUCCCACCCGAAACCCUUGUUCCUUCCUCUGGUCAUUGACGUUCCUCCCAGACGGCUUCGAGAGCCCCGCAGAUCCUUCCACUACUCCCCAGCCUAGAAGAUCCAGGGACAGAAGCCCUCGAGGUUCUGGCUGGGCCCACGUGCUGAGAUGCCUCUGAGAAAGCUGUCUUUCCAUGGUGGAUCCCGCUGGAUGCCCGUGAACACGGGGCCAGCUUGCAGAGAGCUGGAAGGAGGCCUCCUGGCGGCACCCAGGCCUGACACAGGAUGGCACAGCAGAUGCAACCGUGGGCCUGGGGCCUGGGGUUCCUGGUUGGUGGCCAGGAGAGGCGGCCAGAAGACUCCAUGGCUCCCAGGGCCCAGUCGCAGCUGAGAGGCUCCCCGUCACGAUGGCCAAUAGCCCUUUCUCCAAGGACAAGGAUGGGGUGAUGGCACAACAUGUGUGGGUCGAGCACACCUACCCAUGUGCACACAUGGGUGUGCAUGUCCUGCUGGUGGCUGACCCGUGACCCUGCAUGCGUGUCCUGCGGGUGGCUGACCCGUGACCCUGCAUGCGUGUCCUGCUGGUGGCUGACCCGUGACCCUGCAUGCGUGUCCUGCUGGUGGCUGACCCGUGACCCUGCAUGCGUGUCCUGCGGGUGGCUGACCCCUGACCCUGCAUGCGUGUCCUGCGGGUGGCUGACCCGUGACCCUGCAU